UAGAUACCCUGGUAGUCCUUGCCGUAAACGAUGUAUACUUGACGUAGUUGGGCUCAACCCUGACUGUGUCGAAGCUAACGCGAUAAGUAUACCGCCUGAGGAGUACGCUCGCAAGGGUGAAACUCAAAAGAAUUGACGGGGGCCCGCACAAGCAGUGGAGCAUGUGGUUUAAUUCGAUGCAACGCGAAGAACCUUACCCAGGCUGGACAUACAGGAGACGAUAUCAGAGAUGAUAUUUUCCGCAAGGACU
rnacentral:rRNA from 1 species